UCAAACCACACAGCUUUGGCCAUAUACAUACAUGGGGUAUGUACAGCCACAGCCUGCCUGUUUGCUCAAGCCUUGGUCAAACAAACAGUUCCAUUAGAGCAAAGUCCCAGUGUUGUAGAACCAAGUAUAGAGUCAUUGCACAAUGAGAAGAUCUCUCUUGCAUCAAAGCUGCUGGGUCUUUAGCUGCUGUGACAUUUGCUAUGUAGGUUUAAAAAACAAAUGGCUGUCCCCAGUGAGGGUUGCAAUGCUAUAUUUCAGUUUCUAAAGAGACUGGUGUUCAAAGGAACUGAGCAGUUCUUUUUGAUCUGGGUAGGACAUCUGCAUACUGUAUUAGAGGUAGGAGAUUGCAGAACACCUAUUUAAACUACAGUAAAACCAGAAAGGUCUGAGAUCUGUUUUUCUAGUUCCUCUUCCCCAUGUCUGUUUAGCCCUUGAAGCCUUAAUAAAUAAAUUACUCUGGGGCAGCGUGAACAGCGAAACUCAGUGUCACUUUGUUUCAGUUACAUGUACAUUUCUCCGCAUGGGGAUUUCGUUUAGUUUCUGUUUUAUUUUCCUCUGUGAACGCCAGCUGUCCGUAGAAGAAAUGUUUUUUACUCACACCUGUUGUUUAAAUUUGACAAGCACCGAGUCGAGUAGGAACUUGUUGGCUUUCAUUGCAUCGCUUGGAAAAAAUGUCAUCAUCCUUUAAGUAGAUCAGAGCUUCCCUUCCAGCACCAGUGAACCUGGAGGUUGAUUCUCCUCUGAUGCCUGCAUCAGUAUCUUGCUUGCCUUUGCACUACAAGAUUGUUUUCAUUGGAGAUGAAAGGAUGAAAAGAAUCCAAGCUGAAUGUCAGAUGUGAAGAGUAUGCAGGUAGUAAAACUGUUCUACUGCGUAAUGUAAAUCACACUGAAGUAUUAACUGUAAGUUGUGUGCAUAGGUGUACCUGACAAAUGCUGCUAUACACCAGAAAGUAUAUAUAGGAUCUAAAACAUGGAAGUGGUUUCCCCUUGGUUCAGAGUCACAGCAAUAAUCUAUAUCCAACUCAAGCAGGUGGUAGGUUAUUCCAUGUAGCAGGAGGGACAAACUGUCCCACACUUAGUGCUUACUGCAGAAGUCAAUUAUCCCAGGCAAUUGUCUUCCCUCAGCAGUGUAGUUUUAAAAAUGUUCUUAGUAGUUUCCUAUAGCUCAUUAUGCAAAGGGACAAAAAUACCUACUAUAGUUUUUGCAGUUGUCCCAUUGCAGCACAAAUAUAUGUAAAUGCUAAUAACUUGAUUUAGUUUACCUGAAUGGAAAGGGGUCAGAGUAAAAUCCCUUCGUACUGAUCUGUGUAGCAUGUAGUAAUUGUGCACUUACACAUCUUUAGAGAGGCUCUUAUGAAACAUGCCUGGGCUUGGGAACAAUAACACGUAGCAAAAGAAUGGAGUUUGUGGUGUGUGUGGAUUUGCUCCCAUAAGAAUACAUGAGCCCAGUGCCAAAUGCCUCCACCCAAAUAUCCGAGAUGUUACUAAUUUGAUAAGAGACCUUUUCCUGUUUUUUUUACUAGCCUGUGCAGUUUCUCAAGCUGUCUGUUCUCAGUUCUCACUAAGUGAUUUUAGUGGCACAGAACAUGUCUGCAGAGCAAAAUGAAGGUUUUGCAGCACAGGUGUUUUACAUUACACCUUCUGUGACUUGUUACUUUGUUUUGAAGACUUCAGUCUGAAAAGAUGUAUUUGGAAAAAUCAAAGAUACUGAUGCUGCCUGGUACCUAUUGCAUCGUUCAUGUUUUAGGAAAUACGGAUGAAGUCUCAUAAUUUACAAAUACCUGAUGUUUCAAUGUAUUGUUGACCACCAGCAGCAGAGUGAGCCUAUUAUGCCUUUGGAUGGUGGGCUGCACCACUGCAGAACAGUAUAAAAGUUGCUGCCCAUCUUGUUGUUGCUCCCCAGCUCACACAGUAACAGUAUUAUGAAAAAGCCAGUGAAAGCAGCAGUGCACAACUACAAGGGCAAGAUGACUAGGAAGAUACAGGAGCACUUUGUUUGAAGGGCUCAUGUUAUUGAGCCUUUAGUGUUCGUCUUACUGGAAGGCUAUAAAGCCUUAAAGGAUUCUUCAUGAUGAGACUCUAAAGCUGGCCUAUGUGGAGGUAAGUGAGCACAGCCCUGCUUUGCUGAGCCACCCAUUGUGUCACACCAUUCUUAUAAUCCAAAGAAGGCAUAUUUCUUCACAUAGGCUUUUAAAAUCUGUUAAGUCCAACUUGGCAAGCAGGCAGAGCAGAGGAAAAGUCAGCUGGUUUAAUGCUAAACUAUGUGGAGUUUUUCCACUGUGCCAGAGUGGCCUCCAGAUGGACUUUUCUGGCUGUGUUACAAGAGGAAGAUGGAUUACAGCUGAGAGUCUGUCUCUAUACUUCUAAGUGACUGAUGGAUGAAGACAGAAAAAAGCAGGGGUUUUGUUAAAUUUAGAAUUGGAUUAGCUAAGUGCUUGCUGUCCUCAUUUUCUCUUGCUAUCAGUGGUAUCAGAAAAUUCUCAGAACCUUGUUAAGUCUGAUACCUCAACUUGAAGUUAACCAAACCAGCAGUUUAGGGGAAGACAAUGGAUUACAGCAGACUCUGUUGUGCUACUGGAUUUAACACAGCUCUUCAUUAAGGCAAUCAGAGGAAGAUGGCAAGAUCUGCUUCUGGCUUAGGCCCAUUCACAAGUGUGGUGCCAAGGAGUGUUCCUACUGAGCAGGUUAAAGUAACAAUGCAGAGAAUCCUGCAAAAUGCUUCCAGAGACAGUUUUAACACGGUGAAAAUGAAUUAUAAGGAAGUAAAUACAUCAUCUUGUGCCAGUUGGGUAUGAAGUUGUACUGUGAUAAGCAACAGUUUUAUUGAAAAAAUACUAAUGAGGAAUAAAUGCCUGCAGCGAAAAGUGGUAGCAUCUGGUCUGUGUUUGAC